CCCAGGACCAUCCUACACUCAGCCAUGAAAGCAGGGGCUACGCAUGGGGUACAGCAGUGAAGGGGCGACCCGAAAUUCCCAUUACUUGGUGGAGGAAAUAUGCUGAACUCAUUUUUAAGGAACCUAUAGCUCUGUGAGUCAGAGGUCGUCAGUGGGUCUCGUGGGCUAAGGUCAAGGUGUUAGCAGCACUGCAUUUCUUUCCUGGAGCCUCUGGGGGGGAUCGUUUUCUCGCCUUCGUCAGCUUUUGGAGGCCAGGUUCCCUGGUUCACGUCCUGCUUCCACCCUCAAAGCAGCAGUGGACAGACAUGUCUGGCUGAAUCUUUCUCAGACAUGUUAAAUUGGUUGACUUGCCUGGGGUCAUACCCUCAAGGAGAGAGAAAAUCAGGGCCUGAGUCACCUCUACUGAUCCAAACUACAGUCUCUCCCCACUAGUCCAUGACUCCCCCAGAGCACACAGGACAGAGAGCCUAGAACUGGGACUCCGGAGACACCGAAGAUAAACAUUCACAUCAUCGGAGUCAGUUGGGGGAAAAGAAGCAGAGUGCCAAACAGACUCUUUUGGACUAAGUAAGGAUCAUCCUGGAGGUCCUAUCUGAUGCAGUGAAACAAGAAAAAAGGAGUAAAAAGUAUGUUGUGGAAAGAAGGAAACGAAACUGUCAUUCCUUGAAGAUGAGAAAAAUUAUCUUCAUGAUGCACCUUUUAAAAGACCCAUUAUGGGGCGCCUGGGUGGCUCAGUUGGUUGAGCAACCGCUUUUGGCUCGCGUCAUGAUCCUGGAGUCCCUGGAUCGAGUCCCGCAUCGGGCUCCCUGCUCGGCGGGGA